GAUCCCCGGGGCCAGACGCGAGCCAGCCUGGGCCCAAGGAAGCCAUGAGGUCAUGGAAAGAGGCAGGAGGCCUCAGUUUCCACCUCGGCUCUUUACUCCCUAGCUGUGAUACUGAUGAAGAAACUGAAGGCAGCAUGGGUAGACUGACUUGUCCAAGAUCACGUGGUCUGAAGGCAAAUUUGAACUCAGGACUGGUACCAUCUUACCUGGAGGAGGAAGUUGGGUAUUUGAGAAGCGUUUGGAGGCAAAACUUGGGAAAAGACCAGGAUGGAUUGUGGAAAGCUUUGAAUGCCGGCCUGGAAGAUUAUCUAAGAGUCAGCCCACACUGGAGGAGAUACUGGACAAGGUAAAUGAGGACGCCCUUCCUCCAGAAGCCUAAGGAGACAGAACAAUAAUCGGCAUUAACAUGGAUGUGGCACUUCAAGGAACACUUUAUAAUACUCCUCAGAGGCAGGUGCCCCUUUUACAGAUGGGGAAACUGAGGCAGACGGUCACAUAGCUAGAUUUGAACUCGGGGCUCCCCCACUCCAAGGCCAGGGCUCUAUCCACUGCCCCAUCUCAGCCAAGCAAGCCAAGACAGCGAGCUUGUCUGUGACCUAUCUGUUGAUCCAGGAUUGGACCGGACCACCAAACAGGCUGAGAAACCGAGGCUCCGGACCCUCGGCCGGGCCAGGAAAUGCGUGUUUUGGGUGUGGGGCUGCUGCCUAGAGAACAAGAAAGCCCAGGAAAGGCUGCUUCCCAUCUGGAGCCCGCAGGCCCCGCCGCCCGGCCUCCCUCCCUCCCACCAUCCGGGAGAGAGAGUGGCUAAUGAGAUGCAGACAAGCCCCGGCCUCGCCUGGUUUUAUUAGCUUUUCUUGGAAAUUUCUAAGGUUCCAUUAUCCCUCCCUAAUCCCAUUUGCCACACUCUGCUUAUAUUUUGACAGGCCCAGUGUGGGCUGAUUUAGCCAACAUCCGCUGGAGUGGAGGAGGCCAGGCCAGAGUGAGCUCCUCCUGAAAUCCGGGGGCCCGGGGCCUCUGCCAAGCCAGCCCGACUCCCCGGGGAGUGCGGGAGCCCCGACCCCUCUCACCCACGGCUCCGGGCGGCUCGGCCCCCUUCCUGCUCCGGGCUCCGGUGGAGGAGCGGGGGGCUCUCUCAAAAAAAUCUGAAUGCAUCGAGGUUCUCCCAUCCCCCACCGGGUCCAAGCAGCUGAAAUAUCCAGGAUAAUUGCUAUUCCAGCUCUGUGCAUUAAUCCCUGUCCUCCUCCACCUCCUGUUUCUAGGUCUGACUAACAGCCUCAGUUGAGCUCUCUUAAAAGGCCCGUGAUGUAUUUUAUUAACCGGUGGUAAUUUCCUAGCACUGGGUUCAGGAUAUAUAGUAGGUGUUUAAUAAAUGCUUGUUGAUCAGUU
rnacentral:lncRNA from 1 species